GGGAGGAAAGCAUAAGUGUGCGGUUAACUUGAAAUUAACAGGUGGCAGUUCAAGUCUGUCUCUUCUCG
rnacentral:tRNA from 1 species